CUUCAAAACAAUUGCGUUAAUGCGAGGAAAAUCUCAGGUCAUCACAGUAACGUGUGAUUGAACUGAUUGGACAUCGUUGAUAAGAUAUAUAGCUGCAGAACGCAGAACUGGCGCGUUCAAGUGCCGUGCAUACAUGGGGAAAUUCAUCGAGACCCCCGUUACCAAGGAAACAAGCAUCUACGGCUUGAGGUCCUCCGGUUCUC